GCUGGCAGGAUCUGGAGUUGUCUCCCGGGGCGCCUCUGCAGAUCUCUCUCAGGACUCGGCCCGACUCAGCCCGGUCCGGUCCGGUUUGAUCUGGUCUAAUGAGCGAGGAUUUGCUCUGGGACUUUUAUUUUGGCAUACAUCCAGUUACCUCAAGUAAGAAAAAUCUCUGUGAAGGAUACUCACAAAUUUAAGAAGUGCAACAUGACAAGAGGCUGCCUGUGUUGUUUGAAAUAUAUGAUGUUCCUUUUCAAUUUGCUAUUUUGGUCUUGAAACCCCAAGAUGUGGGGUGCAAUCAUCAUCCCUGGGGGAUCGGAUACCACCCAGAGAGACCUAGACUGGCUUGGGCAGUGGGCCCAGUGCUGAGGACAGUGCAUGCAGGACCGUGAACCUUUAGGUGUGGGUGAGAGGAGCAGAUUCUGUCCCACAGUGGAACAAGUCCAAGACCUCCUCAUGAAACUGAAUAUAUGUAAGUCCAUGGGGCCAGAUGGUAUGCAUCCCAGGGUUCUGAGUGAAAUGGCUGAUGUGGUUGCUGAGCCACUCUCCAUCAUAUUUGAAAAACCAUGGCUGUUGAGUGAAAUCCCUGGUGACUGGAAAAAGAGAAACAUUACUCCCAUUUUUAAGAAAGGGAGAAAGGAUUACCUGGGCUACAGGCCAGUGAGCCUCGCCUCUGUGCCUAGAGAGGCCAUGGAGCAGAUCCUCCUCGUUACCAUGUUAAGGCACAUACAAGAUGAAGAGGUGUUCUGAGAGAGCCAGCAUGGCUUUACCAAGGGCCUUGGUACCAGGGUUUGCCUGACCGAUCUGGUGGCCUUCUAUGAUGGAGUGAUGGCUUCGGUGGACGGGGGAAGGGCCAUGGAUGUCAUCUACCUGAACUUCUGCAAAGCCUUUGACAUGGUCCCUCACCUUAUCCUUCUCUCUAAAUUGGAGAGAUAUGGAUUUGAAGGAUGGACUGUUCAGUGGAUUAGGAAUUGGCUGG